rnacentral:rRNA from 1 species
UGGCAGACGGGUGAGUAAUGUAUAGGAAUCUACCUAGUAGUACGGAAUAAUUGUUGGAAACGGCAACUAAUACCGUAUACGCCCUACGGGGGAAAAUUUAUUGCUAUUAGAUGAGCCUAUAUUAGAUUAGCUAGUUGGUGGAGUAACAGCCUACCAAGGCAAUGAUCUAUAGCUGAUCUGAGAGGAUGAUCAGCCACACUGGAACUGAGAUACGGUCCAGACUCCUACGGGAGGCAGCAGUGGGGAAUAUUGGACAAUGGGCGAAAGCCUGAUCCAGCCAUGCCGCAUGAGUGAAGAAGGCCUUUGGGUUGUAAAGCUCUUUUAGUGAGGAAGAUAAUGACGGUACUCACAGAAGAAGUCCUGGCUAACUCCGUGCCAGCAGCCGCGGUAAUACGGAGAGGGCUAGCGUUAUUCGGAAUUAUUGGGCGUAAAGGGCGCGUAGGCUGGUUAAUAAGUUAAAAGUGAAAUCCCGAGGCUUAACCUUGGAAUUGCUUUUAAAACUAUUAAUCUAGAGAUUGAAAGAGGAUAGAGGAAUUCCUGAUGUAGAGGUAAAAUUCGUAAAUAUUAGGAGGAACACCAGUGGCGAAGGCGUCUAUCUGGUUCAAAUCUGACGCUGAAGCGCGAAGGCGUGGGGAGCAAACAGGAUUAGAUACCCUGGUAGUCCACGCUGUAAACGAUGAAUGUUAAAUAUGGGAAGUUUACUUUCUGUAUUACAGCUAACGCGUUAAACAUUCCGCCUGGGGACUACGGUCGCAAGAUUAAAACUCAAAGGAAUUGACGGGGACCCGCACAAGCGGUGGAGCAU